rnacentral:rRNA from 1 species
UAGUCGUGCCCGGUAGGCAAAUCCGCCGGGCUUAGAUGAGGGGUGAUAACGAGUCUGCUUGCAGACGAAGUGAGUGAUACCCUGCUUCCAGGAAAAGCCACUAAGCUUCAGCUAUUGACGACCGUACCGCAAACCGACACUGGUGCGCGAGAUGAGUAUUCUAAGGCGCUUGAGAGAACUCUGGAGAAGGAACUCGGCAAAUUGAUACCGUAACUUCGGGAGAAGGUAUGCCCCAAGUAGGUGAACCUGUACAAGGCGAGCCCAAAGGGGUUGCAAAAAAUCGGUGGCUGCGACUGUUUAAUAAAAACACAGCACUCUGCAAACACGAAAGUGGACGUAUAGGGUGUGACGCCUGCCCGGUGCUGGAAGAUUAAAUGAUGGGGUGCAAGCUCUUGAUUGAAGUCCCAGUAAACGGCGGCCGUAACGAUAACGGUCCUAAGGUAGCGAAAUUCCUUGUCGGGUAAGUUCCGACCUGCACGAAUGGCGUAACGAUGGCCACACUGUCUCCUCCAGAGACUCAGCGAAGUUGAAAUGUUUGUGAUGAUGCAAUCUACCCGCGGAAAGACGGAAAGACCCCAUGAACCUUUACUGUAGCUUUGUAUUGGACUUUGAACAGAUCUGUGUAGGAUAGGUGGGAGGCUUUGAAGCGUGGUCGCUAGAUCAUGUGGAGCCAACGUUGAAAUACCACCCUGGUGUGUUUGAGGUUCUAACCUAGGUCCAUUAUCUGGAUCGGGGACAGUGCAUGGUAGGCAGUUUGACUGGGGCGGUCUCCUCCCAAAGCGUAACGGAGGAGUUCGAAGGUACGCUAGUUACGGUCGGACAUCGUGACGAUAGUGCAAUGGCAUAAGCGUGCUUAACUGCGAGACUGACAAGUCGAGCAGAUGCGAAAGCAGGACAUAGUGAUCCGGUGGUUCUGUAUGGAAGGGCCAUCGCUCAACGGAUAAAAGGUACUCUGGGGAUAACAGGCUGAUACCGCCCAAGAGUUCAUAUCGACGGCGGUGUUUGGCACCUCGAUGUCGGCUCAUCUCAUCCUGGGGCUGUAGCCGGUCCCAAGGGUAUGGCUGUUCGCCAUUUAAAGAGGUACGUGAGCUGGGUUUAAAACGUCGUGAGACAGUUUGGUCCCUAUCUUCCGUGGGCGCUGCAGAUUUGAGGAAGCCUGCUCCUAGUACGAGAGGACCGGAGUGGACACACCUCUGGUGUACCGGUUGUCACGCCAGUGGCAUCGCCGGGUAGCUAAGUGUGGAAGAGAUAACCGCUGAAAGCAUCUAAGCGGGAAACUCGUUUCAAGAUGAGAUCUGCCGGGGGCUCGACCCCCCUGAAGAGUCGUUCUAGACCAGGACGUUGAUAGGCUGGGUGUGGAAGCGCAGCAAUGCGUUAAGCUAA